ensembl:lncRNA
CACAUAUGCUCGUCUGACCUCUUUGUUUCUUUGAGAGUUUCUCUCAAACGGCACCUUAUAAAGUUGUUUCAUUCUGAUUUGGUUUCGCGUGAGAAUGCGAGCCAAUGUUGGCAGACUGACUCAUUGAAUGUUGUUGAAUAUGGUGUGGUCUUGGAUGAUGUGGCUUUGAAUUUCUCGUAAUCUGAUUUCAUUAUUUUCCAAAACCAAGUUUACAAUGUUAGCUUCCUGUACCCCGGUGAACAUUUGUGCCCUUCCUCUACCAUGGUUGCAUCUCUCAAUCCUUUAUAAAAAUAAACAAACAAGAAUAUAGGGCUUGGACAAUGCAGCCUAAAGAUAUUUCCCCCACAGUAGAGUGAAUUCUACAGGAAAUGUGUGCAGUUAGUGUAGGACAUCAGCCAUUCAUGAAGUAAACAGGUGUCACCCAACUGAUACACUAUGACAUGGGGUGUACUACAUAGUGUGAAAUAAGUGUUGGUUACAUACCUGUACUCCAGUCUAAAUGUCCGGAUGACACAGGCGACAGUGAAACGGCUCAGGUUGGGCUGCGCUCUCUGUCCAGCCUCUCGCAUUGUCAGCCCAUGGUUGAUGACAUGAUCAACUAAGGUUGCUCUGAUUUCACUCUCUGUCCAGCCUCUCACAUUGUCAGCCCAUGGUUGAUGACAUGAUCAACUAAGGUUGCUCUGAUUUCACUCUCUGUCCAGCCUCUCACAUUGUCAGCCCAUGGUUGAUGACAUGAUCAACUAAGGUUGCUCUGAUUUCACUCUCUGUCCAGCCUCUCACAUUGUCAGCCCAUGGUUGAUGACAUGAUCAACUAAGGUUGCUCUGAUUUCAUUUGAAAGAUGCUGUCUUCUUUGGCCAUGAACUCCUCUACCAGCUCUACCCAUACCUCUCACUCUUCCUCCCCCUUUCAUUCUCCCCUUCCAUCUUCCUCUUCCUCUCUCUGCAACGGUUUCCAUUGUUGUUGUAAAACAAAAGGUAAAACAAAAGGCUCACCUGUGGUCUUCCUGAUUGAAGUGGUAACAAUGAACCAUUGAGGUGUUUGGCCAGGUGGUACAUGUAUUGGCCAAUUAGCUCAUGUAGCUCAUGCUGGUCCUCACAUACGGCUGGGGGUUCCGGCUGGUCCUCACAUACGGCUGGGGGUUCCGGGCUGGUCCUCACAUAUGGCUGGGGCUUCCGGCUGGUCCUCACAUACGGCUGGGGGUUCCGGCUGGUCCUCACAUACGGCUGGGGCUUCCGGCUGGUCCUCACAUACGGCUGGGGGUUCCGGCUGGUCCUCACAUACGGCUGGGGGUUCCGGCUGGUCCUCACAUACGGCUGGGGGUUCCGGCUGGUCCUCACAUACGGCUGGGGGUUCCGGGCUGGUCCUCACAUACGGCUGGGGGUUCCGGCUGGUCCUCACAUACGGCUGGGGGUUCCGGGCUGGUCCUCACAUACGGCUGGGGGUUCCAGCUGGUCCUCACAUACGGCUGGGGGUUCCGGCUGGUCCUCACAUACGGCUGGGGGUUCCGGGCUGGUCCUCACAUACGGCUGGGGGUUCCGGCUGGUCCUCACAUACGGCUGGGGGUUCCGGGCUGGUCCUCACAUACGGCUGGGGGUUCCGGGCUGGUCCUCACAUACGGCUGGGGGUUCCGGGCUGGUCCUCACAUACGGCUGGGGGUUCUGGGCUGGUCCUCACAUACGGCUGGGGGUUCCGGCUGGGGGCAACUAGAAUUGUGUAUUUUUAAGAAGCCUGAAACAGACUUUUCCAUACAAUCUAGAGCCAUAAUCGUUAUGCUUAAUUCUAUGUCCAAAAAAAAAGAAGUCAUUUUUUAUGCAUAUCUAAGCCUUUUGAGCUGGCUGUAUCCUCAUGACUGGUGUUCGUUUUUUAAAGAAACUAAAAAUGCUUCUCUGCUAAAAUGUCUUAUUCAGUACAUUUAGAAAUAGCAAUUUUAGAAUGUAAAUCUUGGUGGGGCAAACAAACAAAACAUGCAGAUGCCAGCAAACCCAAUACACAACACAACACAACACAA